AUUGAACGCUGGCGGCAGGCCUAACACAUGCAAGUCGAGCGGCAGCGGGAAAGUAGCUUGCUACUUUUGCCGGCGAGCGGCGGACGGGUGAGUAAUGCCUGGGAAAUUGCCCAGUCGAGGGGGAUAACAGUUGGAAACGACUGCUAAUACCGCAUACGCCCUACGGGGGAAAGCAGGGGACCUUCGGGCCUUGCGCGAUUGGAUAUGCCCAGGUGGGAGUAGCUAGUUGGUGAGGUAAUGGCUCACCAAGGCGACGAUACCUAGCUGGUCUGAGAGGAUGAUCAGCCACACUGGAACUGAGACACGGUCCAGACUCCUACGGGAGGCAGCAGUGGGGAAUAUUGCACAAUGGGGGAAACCCUGAUGCAGCCAUGCCGCGUGUGUGAAGAAGGCCUUCGGGUUGUAAAGCACUUUCAGCGAGGAGGAAAGGUUGAUGCCUAAUACGUAUCAACUGUGACGUUACUCGCAGAAGAAGCACCGGCUAACUCCGUGCCAGCAGCCGCAGUAACAC
rnacentral:rRNA from 1 species